CAAUCCCAGGACCCUGAGGUCAUGACCUGAGCCGAAAGCAGAGGCUUAACCCACUGAGCCACCCAGGCACCCGAUGCCAGACAUUCUUAAGGCUGAAAUGAAGAACCGCCAGUUUCCAGCUUGCAAGGAAGACAGAGCCAGCUUCCUGUUGGAGAAACACGUUGCCAUGUUGUAUGCAGCUGAGAGGAGGCCACCUGGCAGAAUACCGAAGUCUCUGGCCAAUGGUCAGUUAGGAGCUGUGUCCUGCCAACAACCGUGUGAAUGAACUUGGAAGUGAACUCUGCAGCCCUAUUCUGGCCUUGAGACAACUGGAGCCCCAGCCAAAUCUUGACUGCAACCUCAUGUGAGACCUUGAGCCAGAAUCACCUGGCUAAGUCACUCUCAGAUUACUAAACCUCAGGAAUUGUG
rnacentral:lncRNA from 1 species